rnacentral:lncRNA from 1 species
UCGAGUAGAAGCACCACUAGACACCACUGAGACCAACACCAGUAUCUGCACAAGAAGUGCAAAAGUGUAGCAUGAGUACAACCGACCCAAUGUACUUCGUAAGUGCCGAGUCUAACCCCGAUGAUGUAGUGACGAGGCUAUGUUAAGACACCUAUGUAAAUCAUGUACAGGUAUAUAGAUAAAGAUACAAAAUAACAGGACAAUUAAAAUAUUAAAUAGGAAGGAACAUGUAGAAAGGGGAGUAUGAUAAGAACGAAGGUAGGAAGCAAAUAAGGCACGACAACACCCUUCGAGCUUUUCACUCUUCCUCACCAAGCAACACUAAUCCAAAACAGCAAAACAAGGUAGGAAGCAAUUUCACUUCAAUCAUAGUGUAAUGAUAAUUAAACUCAACUUUCAAAAAUCCCAACAACUUCUUCAAAAUAAACAAUAGAUAUGAAACCGAACAAUUGAAAAAGUAAUAAUCUAACUACGACAUGGAAAGCAUAGUCAUUGAAACAACAUAGUACAAUAAAACAAUUUUCACCCACAUGCUUUAUCCCAAUAACGACGCAUAUAUUAGACCUUACAUAUACGUCGUCCAUACAUAUAAUUCACGUAGCAAAUAGACCAAGAAGUCCUAAUUUCCAUAAGUCAAGGUUAACCACAAUAUUUACCUCACUCCGCAACAAAGUUAAUCAACCAACCAUGGCCUUGCCUACUGAACAAGCCUCCAAACCAACCAAAUCUAACCAAUUGUCGAUCAAACAAUUCAAAAUAAGCUUUAGACACUAUUCACGAAGGGAAAAGGUUCAAUCUUUGAAGAAUUUUAAAAAGGCAACCCUAGGCCUGCUUGGUUAAAACCCGAGAUUCAGACCAAAAACCGGUUACCCAUUAACCCCCGAGCCUAGUUAAGUGAUUUGUUUUGAAAUCCAACCUCAAUUUCAGAUCUAAAUCUCAAUAUUUACAAAAUUUCCAAUUUCUACCCAAAUUCCUAAUUUCUACCAUGAAAAUCCUAGAUUUGAUAUUGAAAACACAUGAAAAGUAUUGGGUAAUUGAAAGAAAAUAGAUUAAAGUUGCAUACCAAUGAAUUUGGGAAGAAGAAACUCUUGAAAAAACACUUCUAGAGAGUUUAGGGUUGAGAAAUGGUAUAAAAUGGGCUAAGUCCCGAUUUCCCCCUCUUUUACCCAGAUGCGGAUGUCGCAAUUGCAAUUUCUUGUUCUCAAUUGCGACCAUCGCAAUUGCAAGAAAGAGGUCGCAAAUACGAACUGUGCCCCCAGCAUACUUUAGUCGCAAUUGCAACAAAACCAUCACAAAUGCUAUGUCGCAUCAAACCAAAAAAAGCGAACAAAGGUUCGCAUUUGCGAACCUGCCAAAGCCUAGUGCUCAGUCGCAAAUGCGACCAAGCCAUCGCAAAAGAUAAGUCUGGGAAUUCCGCAAUUGCGAACAUUUCUUCAUAAAUAUGAAAACUACCCUGCCCAGUCCCCUAUCGCAAUUGCGAGCUCAACUUCACAUAAGCGGAGUUUGCAUUUGGGAAGAGUUCAUCGCAAAUGUGAGACCUACAGCCCAAUACUAAAACUGAAGCACACCAGUAAGUGCCAACGGUCAAGUAAAGUCAACUAACAAGGUGAUAAUUUAAAACCUCAAAAACAAAUUAGAGGAUGCUAAAGGCAGUUGGCCAGAAGAGCUGCUGGGAGUAUUAUGGGCAUAUCGAACAACAAAAUCGAGCACAGUAGCAACGCCUUUUUCCCUUGUUUAUGGUACGGAAGCUUUGAUUCCGGUGGAGAUAGGUAAACUGAACAUGAGGUAUUCCAUGGCAAACAAGCAGGGGAAUGAUGAAGCAAUGUUGAUUAUGUUGGACUUGCUUGAGGAGCAUUGGAACUUGUCUUAUGUAUGAAUGGCAGCACAGAAGCAGAGGAUGAGAAGAUACUACAAUCGUAGAGUAAAUCUUUACUAUUUUAAAAUUGGAGAUUUGGUUUUAUGAAAGAUAACUCAUAAUACCCGGGAAGUCAAUGAUGGGAAGUUGGAACCGACCUGGGAAGGACAUUACCAGAUUUAGGUUAGCCUGUAAAUUCAAAGGUUAGAGUUGCAAAAGAUGAUUGUUAGCAAGUGUAAAGGUAAAAGAGAAGAAUGAGAUGAUACCUGAGCAACAAGAUGUAUGUUGUUGUUGAUUAAAUAUUCCGCGGAGAGACCGUACAUUUUUCUCCAGUCCUUAUCCGAAGCCAUAGGAUUCAAGAAGUUGGCUACUCUCACUGACGUGGAAAGCAAAUGGCAUUUAUUCAAAACAAAAAAGGUAACACUGCAUUUACCGUUAAGGUUCCAGAUGAAUGUCAGGAAGGCAUUUUCUAUGUUCCCUAGAUCAGGUGAUAAGGGGGAACACACAUCUUCCUCUUGUUCGGUUGGAACUAGUGGCGAGGCAGAGCUGGUGAUACAAGAGCUGGAGAUGGAAUAGAAGUUGAAGGAGCAUCAGAAGAGGAACCCUUCUAACCAAAGGCAAUAACUGGGGCCCGAAAGCGGGAUUCAACAUUCUCAACCAAGUCGAACUCAGUAAAGAAUCCUUCUACAUCCUCCGGUUGAGCUGAGGGAGUUCUUCUUUUUCUUCUUCUCUGAAGAGAAACCAUCAUCAUCUUCAAUAUCAUCUUUGUCAAGGACCACCGUGGCUGAUCCUUCUGGGAUCUCUUCUGUUACUGGAGGCUACUCCUUAGACCCAACCUUAUAAGUAUGCUUUCUUUUCGAUUUUUCCCUUGGGUUGGGGACUCAGAGAAGAUAUGCCUUCACCGGAAGCAAGAGAGGCAUCACGAGCCCUCUUCCAGUCAAGGUCCUCUUGAAUCCGUUGUUGGGCCACCUUCGGGUCAUGUGAAACAAUGAUGAUGGGACAAAUAGAAGAUCCAUCAGAAGGCCUACAUGUUGUUGAAAGAGGUCAAAAAUUAUCUAUUGCAUAGAGUUAAAAGUUAAUAAAGGAAUGGGGAAUUUUCUCUUACCAUGGUUCUUCGCCUUCUAGUUGAGCCUAAUUGAAAUUUCCUUCCACUUACGGGAGUCCGGUGUGAAAGUAUCUAGAAUUUGUUUGAACCCAUAGUGUUAGGUUCUCAUCUGCUGGAGGUACCCUACGGGUGGCUAAAAUGAGAGAAAAUGAAGUUUAGCAAGAGGGGAAUUUCCUUUAACAAAGUAAAAGAUGAAUAUUAAGAAAGUUUAGAGUGUAGUUUCAGGAUUUAGGAAUAGGAGAUGCAGACGCCGAUAAAAUAUCCCCGGGAGUGACAACAACAAACCUCUCCAUCCAACCACAUUCAUUAUCGUCAUCAACACUGGCGACGAUGGCAUCGUGAUCGUGUUUGCUGAGUUUGAUCAUGCCUCAACGGAAAAUCAUAGGGGCAUACAGGUUGAUCAUAUGAGCAAGUGUAACGGUUUCCUGAGCCCGGGAAUACAGGAAUCGAGAGGCAAGCCACCAUGUGCCAUAUUGCCGGUCCUACUUGAGCCAAACAAACAUGGUAGUUCCAGCAAAACUCCAAGAUGAUUGGGUCUAUUUCCUUGUCAAGUCCUAAAGUGAAAUGGUACGUGUAAACGUAAAUGUACCCUGGUUUGCUGAAAGUAAUCCUCUCCACUUCACUAGGGGCUGAAACCUCAAUAUUCUUCUAGUUACAAUCCUCUUCUACGACAGGUAUACUGACCGGACGAAUAGAAGAGGAAUAUUCACCAAUAACUAUAUUUUUGUCGUUGCCGGGGUCAGAAGAUUCCUUUUGAACAUCAAUAUCCAUUUUGCAAGAAAACUAAAAAGGAUGAUCAUGUUAGUAGAGGGAGAAACGACAUCGGGUUUCUUAGACUUGUUCUUCUUGGAUGGACCACGGCUGAAGCAAGUCCCUUUGUAAUCGGGGGGAAGAAAUAGCAGAAGACAUAGUGAUAGAAAGUAUGAAUUUGUAAAUUUUUACUAAAAAAAGGUGAGUUGCAGAAAAGCUGUAUGAAGACUCUAAGAAGAAAGCUUGUAAAAGUAAAAGAUGAAAGUGGUGAAAAGGGAAGAAGUUUAUAGGCGACAGAAUGCAAGGCCAUCAUUACCUAGGUAACUGGCAAACAUAAUUGUCGAAUCACGAGACAACACAUGUUCGAGUCAUUAAAAUCAAAGAGACGUGCGUCCUUUCAAAUGUUAGAAACCGUUCAAAAACUUUCCCGUAAAGAAAAAAGGUCUUAUUUAUUUCCCGAUCACAUCAAGUUGAGUCACCGAAAAGUAGGGAGAUUAUCUAUACGUAAAAUUAAUGAAUAACAGGUGGAUGUUCGUCGAGUUGACAUGUGGCAAUAAGGACAGGUAGGAUAUGAGUCAGCAAAUCGCUGACACUGGUUACAAGUAUGUGACCGAUAUUGUAUGAGUUCCGAAAAUAUCAAAACUGAAGGGAAGAAUUCGAAAGCAAGGUGCCGAUUAAAGAAGGCACCAUUAAAGGAGCAGCCUUUACAGAGAAUCCUAGCAUUUACACUCAACCGUUAUGCGGCUAUCAAGAGAGGUCUUUAUUUACCUUAAAAAGGAGCUUGAUUUGUGAAUUUUGUCUCCCCUAAUUUAGUUAUAAAUAUAGAAAUUUGUAGUCAUUUGAGGACCAAAAUACUUGUAUGAAAAAGGUUAAUAUUAUUCUCUUAUUUUGCUAAACAUUGUUCUAUUAGAAUUUAGUUCUUGAUAUUGUUCUUGUUUUCAGAGAAGUUCAAUUCAAGGCCCAGGCUUGUCUUUUAUUUAAGUAAUUUUAUUUUAUUCAAUUUUGUUCUUCAUUACUUUAUAUUCUUGUAUCAAUUUAAUUCACGUGUCUAUAAACCAUUUUACGAAUUCAACUGUACCGUUUUAUGGGUAAACAACUGGAACUUAAAAAACAAAAAAAAUCUGGAAUGACAAAAUACUACCCGAAGACAAAGACAAUGGGUGCUUAAGCACCCACGCUACUAAAUGUGAAUCCGCCCUCACUAAUACGAAGAGAAUAUGGACGUUAGAUUCCAAUCAUUUUCAACAUACAUGACGAGUAGAAUGGUACAACUGCACUAACACGGAAGUACAAUUUAUUACAGAUUUAUUUAGGUAGAUAGGUAAAAUAGCUAUAUAUAGGAGGAAGAAUUUUUUUCAUCCAUGGGUUUAACUUUUGUUUUUCCUGUAAUUAAACCAUCAACCUAGUCUUUCACCUCCUAUGGGGGGUAUGGGGGGAAGAGGGAAUUUGGGGUUUGGCAUGAACCUUACCUUAUUUAUUAAUAGCAAAAGAAAACUUAAUUAGCUCAGUUGGGGCGGAGGAUAUUAAGGAGAGAUUCACCCAAGGAUGGGCAGCAUCUGUUGAUGCAGCAAUCUGCAUAGAGAGGCCUAACAUUGCAGUAAGAGCAGCUGUUGGAGCAAAACUCAGAGCAAGACUCUGCAUUUCCAGUGUAGAAACAGACUACCAUGAGUACUAUUAUCAUCCAAAUUAUAACUAAAACAUUGUUAUUUUUCUUCACCAUGGCUCUCUCUCUCCCUCUAUAUUUCACUUCUUCUCUAUGUUUUACAUUGUUUUUGAAGGAUAUAUAUAUAGUACUUCUCAAGGAGAAAAAACACUAUUGUACUUCUUGGAAGAUCUAUUGAUAAAGCAAAUGUAACAUACCCAAUUCACAUAUAGAUAGUGGUUUUAAUUAAGGUUUUUAACAUUAAACUCAUUGUACAUUUAAAUAUUAGAUCAAAUUUUAAUUUUAGUUGUUAUAUACGUAUAUGUAUUUGUAUGUUCCGAUUUCUUGUCAAAUAUUGGGUUCAGUUGAAUUCAUUGUUCAAAAAUUUUAGCCGCCCUCAAGUCUUCCCUAUAGAGCCGCCUCUCAAGUCUCACCUAAUCCCAUCCGAUCUCUCGCCCCCCCCUACACACACAAAAAGAAAACACAUAAAAUAUGUUGACAAAUCUAUAUUAUAUUUCAUGAUUAAGACAAUAAUAGAAUUUCCUUUUCUGUUUUUGAUUUACUCAAGGACAAUAAUUGAGUUAAUAAAGUCCACAAAUAAUUGAGAGAGAGUGUUUGUUAUAAGUUAUUAUCCAAGAUAGCUACUAGCCUACUGCUUAACCAUUGGGCCCAGCAAUAGUUGUACAAGAGACUGAACUCUCAUAUUGUCCAAGUAAGCACUCUCCACGUUAGGCAUCCAGCAAAAUUGCUCUAGAUAGAAUUUGACUGAACUUUCUUUUCUGUUGUUGUUGUUUUUUCAAUGAAGGAAACCCAGAAAAUUAAUCUGAAAACAAUUUUAGCAUGUAUUUUACCUUUGAAAUUUAUCUGCGGUCCUUGAAAUAUUACUUCCUCAAUUCUAACAGAUGUCUGAAUAUGACUUUUAUUUCUAAAAACUAAAUUAACAAUUAAAAUUGUUAAUAUGUAAGAGGAACAUGUAGGGUCCUAUAACGAAACUCUCUCUCUGUAAGAGGCAUGCCAACAUACCGUUGAGACAAAGUUUCACUUCCACUCCCAUUUUGUAAUACGCAUUAGAAUUUAGAUUAAUUCCUUCGCUCUUUUUCCUACCACGUAGUUUGAAAACCAAUGUGUUUACCCUUAAAACGGAUAACAAUUAAAUUUGUAUGCAGUUUUAAGGAUAUGUGGAUUGAUUCAACGUAAAUAAUUAAGAAUAUUUGAUAAAUGAUUUAAAGACAAAAUAAAUAACCAAACCAGUUGCAAUGUUAUGGCGUAGCCCUAAUUUAGGUUGAACCGUAAUUUAACCCCGAUCGGUCCCUUGGUUUGAACUCAAUUGUGAAUGAAGAACAAAACAAUUAAGUAAGAGCUUUUACAAUAGCUAGAGAAUAGAGAAUGAAUUUGUAUUGCCUUGAGUUGCGAGUUACAAGGUAUGAUAUCAAAGAAAAACUUCCAUUUUAUAUAGUAGGAGAGUUUCAUACCUAGUACAAGUCUAAAAAGGACAAAAAUCCUCCUUCCUCGUUAAUUACUGAUCCGUAACCGACGUAGAUCUUGCCCGAUGUCGGUUACAGAUUAGUAACUAAUGAGGAAGGAGAAUUUUUACCUUUUUAGACUUGUAUUAGGGAUGAAACUCUCCUACUAUAUAAAUGAGAAGUUUUUCUUUGAUAACACACCUUGUAACUCGCAAAUCAAAGCAAUACAAAUUCAUUCUCUGCUUUCUAGGUAUUGUGAAAGCUCUUACUUAAUUGUUUUGUUCUUCAUUCUCAAUUGGUUUUGAACCAAGGGACCGAUCGAGGGCAAACUACUGUUCAACCUAGAUUCGGGCUAGGCCAUAACAUUGCAACUGAUUUGGUCAUUUAUUUUAUCUUUAAAUCAUUUAUCUAAUAUUCUUGAUUAUUUGUGUUGAAUCAAUCCACAUAUCCUUAAAACCGCGUACAAAUUUAAUUGUUAUAUGUUUUAAGGAUAAACAGUUUGAUACAAAUCUCCAUAACACACUCUAUUACGCUUGUUCUUUAAAGUCUUAAAUUUAGGUCAGUUUAAAAAUAUCAAAUUCGCAGUCUGCCUACUUGAACAUUGAUGUUGAGUCUGGCCAUCAUGGCGAAAAUAAUAAUCUAGUGCAUAGCAACGAGGUGCCUUCUGCUGAUACCAACGGAGUCUUAGUUGCCGAUCCGGUCUAUGCUAACUCAUAGGUGACCAUCGAUGUCAAUCUACGAACCGAUCCCGAAAAUAGCGUUGGUGAGGGACCCAGACCAAUAACUCGAGAAGCGCCCGAAGGCCAAGGCAAUGGGGUAAGCUUACAGUUAAUCUUCGAAACGUUGCAGGCUCAACAAGAGGCAAUAGCGCAGCUACAAAAUCAAAGUCACGCCCCCAAGAGGGUUGAGCCCGAGCAAUCCUGGGAGCAUUCAGACCGAAUGACUCUAUGAAAUUACUUCGAUACUUCCACAUAUUAUAGGUAAUGUAGGAGACAUCUCUAUUUUUCCCUCGGGGAAUUUUUAGAAUUCCCACUGCUUAACUUUUCAUCCGAAGAAAUGAACAGAUCACCGAGAGACCGGGUGAAGCUGAGUCCGGGGUCAAUCCCGAAAUAAUGAAAAUACUUGAAGCAUUAACAUAGAGGGUGGAGUCAGGUGAAAAGAAAAGUGAGGCCAAUGAAAAUAAGGUGGAAACAUACAAUUCUAGGGUCGAUCAAAUCCCGGGAGAAUCCCCGAUAUUGAAAGGGCCGGAUUCCAAGAAGUUUAUCCGAAAGCCUUUUCCUCCGAGAUUGUCACCGAAGCUGAUCCCAAAGAGGUUUCGUAUGCUUGAUAUCACAAAAUACAAGGGAACCACAGAUCCAAAUGAGCAUGUGACCUCCUAUACAUGCGCAAUCAAAGGGAACGACUAGGAGGAUGACGAAAUCGAGUCGGUGUUACUGAAACAGUUUGGGGAGGCUUUGUCCAAAUGAGCAAUAAUAUGGUAUCACAACUUACCCCCCAAAAUUCAUUGACUUGUUUUCUAUGCUUGCAAAUGCUUUUGUGAAGGGCCAUGCCGGGGCCUUCAAGGUCGAGACCAGAAAGUCAAACUUUUUCAAGGUUAAACAGAAAGACAACCAGAUGCUCACGGAGUUCGUGUCAAGAUUCCAGAUGGAAUGGAUGGACCUGUCUCCGAUCGCAGAUGAUUGGGCCGUUCAGGCAUUCACUCAGGGACUUCACCCCCGAAGCUCCUUGGCUUCAUAACUGCUAAAACAAAAUUUUCUAGAGUACCCAACGGUGACUUGGGCUAACGUCCACAACAUGUACCAGUCAAAAAUCAGGGUCGAGGGCGACCAACUCGGAGCCCCUUCUGGGUUUGUUUAUCCCAUCAAGGUCGACGACAGGUCCAAGAGAGCCGUUGAUCAUGAGUCAAGGCUGGUACGGGAUCGGUAUCAACCAUACAACACGGAUCGAAGAGGAAAUGGGUCCGGACGUCACCCCACAAGAAAUGAGAAGAGAAGCGAUCGAGGGCCCAAUACCCGUGGUUUGAUGAGUAAGAAUGGUUUUUACAAGCCACUCGGGGGUAGGAAAGCACCGAGAUUAUCAGAGUAUAACUUCAACGUUGAUACUGCCAGCAUCGUGUCAGCCAUCAGACGUAUCAAGAGACCAAGUGGCCCCAACCAUUGAGCUUUGACUCUACCCAAAGAGAUCGUAACUUGAUGUGUAAGUAUCACGGCACUCAUGGUCACCGGACGAAGGAUUGCCAAAAAUUGAGAGAAUAAGUUGUCUGGUUGUUCAACAAUGGGCACCUCCGAUAAUUUUUGAGUGAUCGAGCCAAAAACCACUUCGGGAAUAGGGAUGCCAACAAACAGGUUGAACAAGUAGAGCCUUAGCACGUCAUCAACAUGGUCAUUGGAGGGGUCGAUGUCCCCCAAGGGCCAAUGAUAAAGUGCACUAAAGUAUCUAUCACAAGGGAAAAAUGCACCCAAUAUUAUGUCCCGGAGGGAACCAUUUCAUUCGGCGACGAGGAUGUCGAGGGCAUUGUACAGCCUUACAAUGAUGCGCUGGUAAUAUUUGUACAUAUCAAUAAAUCACGAGUUAAAUGUGUGUUGAUUGAUCUAGGUAGCUCAGCCAACAUCAUCAGAUCAUGGGUCAUAUAGCAAUUGGGGUUAAAGGUCCAAAUAGUGCCGGCAAUCCGAGUGUUAAACGGAUUUAACAUGACAUGCGAAACCACUAAAGGGGAGAUAACCCUGUUGGUGAACAUCAUCGGGACGAUCCAAUAGACAAUGUUCUACGUGAUCGAAGGGGACAUAUGGUAUAACUCCCUAUUUGGAAGGCCGUGGGUUCACAACAUAAGGGCGGUACCCUCGACCUUGCACCAGGCAUUGAAAUUCCUUACGCCGGGAGGAGUCAAGAUGGUCUACAGAGAGCAGAUGUCUGCAAAGGAGAUCUUUGCAGUCGAUGAGGUAAUCACGGUGCCUGCGUUUUUGACAUCAAGGAAAACAAAGCCGACCAGAAAGAAAGAAAUUAAAUAGCAAUCACUGAUGUCGGUCUCGGCCGAACCAGAGGAAAGAGGAGUAGACGAGGAGGAUGAUUACGGAGUUCCAAGAUCGUUAUUAGCUCCUGAUGAUACCGACUCCACCAAAUCGACCGUCAAAGAGUUGGAGCAAGUCAUAUUAAACGAACACCUACCGGAUCGAAAGGUAUACUUGGGCACGGGGUUAACCCCCGAUCUCAGGAAAAAACUCAUCAAUUUUUUUAAAGCUAACAUAGACUGUUUUGCUUGGUCCCAUCUUGACAUAAUAGGGAUCCCGCCAUAGGUAACCACUCAUAAGCUGAGUUUGGACCCGAAGUUCCAUCCGAUUAAGCAGAAGAGGAGGCCGCAAUCUGAGGUCAAGCAUGCAUUCAUCAAGGACAAGUUAUCCAAACUCUUUAAAAUAGGGUCCAUCUAGGAAGUUAAAUACCCGGACAGGUUAGCUAAUGUUGUGGUAGUGCCUACAAAAGGGAAUAAGCUAAGAAUCUCUGUAGAUUACAAAGAUCUAAACAAUGCAUGCCCUAAGGAUUCUUUCCCUUUUCCUAACAUCGAUCGAAUGAUCGAUGCAACGGCUGGGCAUGAGAUACUCAGUUUACUCGAUGCCUAUUCCAGGUACAACCAAAUUCGGAUGGACCCGGAUGAUCAAGAAAAGACAUCUUUCAUCACUAAAUUUGGCACAUACUUCUAUAAUGUAAUGCCGUUUGGAUUAAAGAACACAGGUGCUGCUUAUCAACACUUAGUAAAUUGGAUGUUCGAAGAACAUAUAGGAAAAUUAAAUGACGUUUAUAUUGACAACAUGUUAGUCAAGUCCAUGCGAGCAGAGGACCAUUUGAAAUAUUUACAGGAGACCUUCGACAUACUAAAGAAAUACAAUAUGAAGCUGAAUCCAAAAAAGUGUGCAUUCGGGGUCGGAUCGGGAAUAUUCCUCGGUUUCAUGGUAUCCAAGCGAGGGAUCGAGAGCAACACCGACAAAAUCAAAGCCAUAGAGAACAUCAUCGUGGUGGACAACGUCAAGGCCGUUCAAAGGUUGAUCGGGCAUAUAGCCACCCUGCGCCAGUUCAUAUUGAGGUCCUCGAACAAAAGCCAUCGAUUCUUCUCACUAUUUUGGAAGAAAUCAAAUGGUACCUAUCAAGUCCGCCCCUGCUGCACACUUCGAAGACGGAUGAACAAUUGUACCUUUAAUUGGCAGUUUUCGAGGUGGCGGUAAGUGGAGUCUUAGUCCGAGAGGAAGAAGGUACGCAAUUUCCUAUUUACUAUGUCAAUAAAACUCUAGAUGAGGCCGAAUCAAGGUAUCCAUAUGUGGCGUGACCUCUUACCCGCUGAAGAACAUCAUGCACAAACCCUAGUUCUUGGGCUGGUUGGCCAAGUGGGCCAUCAAAAUUAGCGGGUACGAUAUUGAGUAUCGACCCCGAACCUCCAUAAAAUCUCAUAUUUUGGCAUACUUAGUGGCCAACUUUAUGCCGGGCUUAAUACCCGAAGUCUAAAGGGAAUUGUUGUUCACCUUGGGGACCACUUCAGGAAUUUGGACCCUUUUUACGCACGGUGCCUCGAAUGCGAAGGGGUCCGAGCUCGACAUCGCAUUAAAACUGUCUACGAGGAAUAUAAUUAGGGAAUCUGUUAGAACUGUGAAAUUGACUAACAAUGAGGCCGAGUAUGAGGCCAUGAUUGCAUGUCUAGAAUUGGCUAAAAUCCUUGGAGAUGAGGUGAUCGAAGUUUAGUGCGACUCCCUCCUCGUGGUAAAUCAAGUUAAUGGGACGUUCAAAGUAAAAUAAGCACAGAUGCGAAGGUACUUGGACAAAUUACAGGUAAUGCUGCAUCAAUUCAAGGAAUGGACCCUGCAACACACACUCUGAGAUCAGAACAGUGAGGCUGAUGCUCUGGCUAACUUGGGGUCAUCGGUCGAUGCCGAUGAAUUCAGUUUGGGAAUAGUAGUGCAACUAAUAAAAUCGGUGAUAGAAGAAGGCCACCUGAAGUAAACUCAACAAGUUUAACUUUGGAUUGGAGGAACAAAUACAUAGACUACUUGAGGACCGGAAAAUUGCCUACGGAUCCCAAAGAAUCGAGAGCAAUGCGCCUCAAGGCUGCCAGAUUUAGCUUGGUCAAAGGGGCAUUAUUUAGGAGAGCCUUCGACGGCCCGCUAGCCAGAUUCUUGGGACCGGGAAAGACCGAAUAUGCCUUGAGAGAAGUUCGCGAAGGCACUUGCGGGAACUAUUCGGGCAGAAUCUUUGGUUUAGAAGCUAAUUAGGGCCAGCUAUUAUUGGACAAAAAUGGAGAAAGAUGCGAAGGAAUUCAUACGGAAAUGCGACGACUGCUAGAGACAUGCCCCGAUGAUCCAUCAACCGAGAGAAAUGCUCCACUCGGUUCUGUCCCCGUGGUCAUUUAUGAAGUGGGGAAUGGACAUCGUCAGUCCUCUACCAUGGGCACCCGGUAAAGCUCAAUUCAUACUAUUUAUGAUCGAUUAUUUUCUAUAUGGGUCGAGGCUCUAGCAUUCAAAAAGGUCUGGGAGAAAGAAGUCAUUGAUUUAAUCUGGGACCACAUAACAUAUCGAUUUGGGAUACCGGCCGAAAUCGUUUGCCAUAAUGAGAAAUAAUUCGUCGGCAGCAAGGUAAUAAAUUUUUGAAGAUCACAAGAUUAAGAAGAUACUAUCAAUUCCUUAUCACCCUAGUGGGAAUGGGCAGGCAGAAUCAACAAACAAGACCAUACUUCAAAACCUGAAAAAGAUAUUGACCGGUGCGAAAGGGAAAUGGAAGGAGAUCCUGCCCGAAGUGCUGUGGGCAUACAGUACGACUUCAAAAUCUAGCAUCGGGGCCACCCCAGUUUCAUUGGUCUAUGGAGCCAAAGUCUUAAUGCCAGUCGAAGUGGGAGAACCAAGCCUCAGGUUCCAGUAUGUAACAGAAGAGCCAAACAAUGAGGCCAUGAUCACAAGCCUGGAACUGUUGGAUGAAAGGCGGGAGGCCGCCCUUGUCCGGUUGGCCGCCCUGGUCCAGUUGGCCGCCCAGAAAUAGUGAAUAGAAAGGUAUUACAACCGAAUAACCAACCUCUGACACUUUCAAGUCGGGGACUUGGUGUUGAGGAAAGUAUCAUAACACACCGGGGACUUGGACAAAGGGAAGCUGGGACCGAACUGUGAAGGACCGUAUUGAGUUGUCAGAAUUAACAUCAAAGGCUCGUAUAAACUUGAAGCGGGAAACGAUGUAAAACUACCGAAUAACUGGAACGUGACACACUUAAAACGGUACUACUGCUAAGCUACAAACUCAAUUACAUUUUAACCAUGUUAUAAAUCGGUUUAAGGUAUGUAGGUAGACGGUCGAGGACAGAUAUGGCUAUUAGGUCUGAAAGCACGUGCUGCACUCUUUUUCCCUUGAACGUGCUAACUUAGAUUCGAGGACCGGUUUCAAACCGGGGUCAAUGAUCGUUUGCUUCAGGUCAACAGUAUCCGAGCCCUCAUGAGUUCGACCUCGAAUAUGAGGGGCUAUUACCCUCUGAUUAAGCUCUUUAGCAAGGGAAAAAGAGAACUUUGUGUGCUAAAGGCUAAGGCUUGGUGGUUAGGAUUUAUUGUAAGGGCCAAACAGUCGUAUGAACCGUGCCCACAUAGUCCACUCUAGCCAUGGCACAAGUUUUUACACGCUUUAGAUCGUAUACCUUGCAUGCUAAGAAAUGGAAGAAAUUUCCACUUUGUUACUAUGCGUUUUUCCUUCUUCGAUCCCGAAUCCUAAAGCCCACGGGCUACCCCUACUCGGGGACUGUCAAUCCCAAGGGCUACCCCUACUCAGGCACUGUCAUGCCCACGGGCUACUGCCACCUCGAGGACUGUCGAGCCCAUGGGCUGCUCUUACUCGGGGACUGUUGCCCGAUGAAAAUUUGGAUGACACAGGCUACCAAAUCCCGAAGGCACCAAAAACCAUUAGGCGGUGCCCAAAUAUAAAAGGCUACGACCACCCUAAAAAUAGCUCAGAGGCGUCCGAAGUCCGUAACCAAAAAGUAAGGCCCUUACGAAAAUUCGAAACCUAUUAAAAAGUUACCCUCGGCAAAAACAUCGUCUAAAGACGCUUAAGCAUCUUGGAAACCUCCGGUCUCAUUGAGGGUUCGAAGCCACGAGCAAACAAAGUUGCAUCAAAGUUAGGCUUCGUUCGAACCCCCAAAAAAUGAAUGCCCCAGAACUACAUCUGAUUCUAUGCUAAGGCAUGCAAAACAAUACACGAAUAUAAAUUGCAAGAAGAUUCUGGAAAAGUAAGGACACAAUAUUGCCAGAAAGGGAAAAGUUUUAUAUAUAUUCCAAAAUAUAUUUACAAAGGCCCGAUAGAACGGACUCAAAAUAAAUAAAUAUAUAUAUAUAUAUAUAUAUAUAUAUAUAUAUAUACGCACACACAUAAGGAAAAUAAAAACUAAAAAAGUACUAAGGCAUCUACGCCUGGUCUUCAUCGGGGCCCAACUCGUCGUCAGGACCGUCGGAACCCUCGGAUCCCUCAGAGCCCUCGGAACCCUCGGAGCCUUCGGCACCCUCAGGUUCGUAGAGCUCCUUUUCUUCGGCCUUGAACCUCCUAGCUUCUUCGAUCUCGGCCGAUAAGUCAAAAGUUCAGGCAUGGAUUUCUUCGAGGGUUUCUCUCCAGGAUAGCCACUUUAUGUAUUCAGUCUUUGUCUUUAAAUGGGUCUCGGCUGCCUCCACAUCGGCCUUGUACUGGGCCACCAUUUCCUCGGUAUCAACAUAGGUCGCAUCUAGUUUGGACCUCAGUACAACAUAUUCUUGCCUAAGGGCAUCCCGUUCCGUAAUGACCGAUUUCAGAUGUGCUCAAAGAUCAUCAUUCAACUAAAACCACUUAUCGUCCUUGUCCUUCGCCAGCCAGAGUUAGUUCUUGACCGAUGCCAGCUCUGAUUUCGCAGCUUCCUUCUAUGAAGCCAGCAGGUUGAUAAGUGGGGAUUUUGACUACUUAUUAGCGUCUUUUAGCUUUUCUUUUAGUCUAAAAAUGUUUAAUUGUGUUCCCGAAACUGAUGAAAUGUGCAAAAUUUGAAGGAAUGUUGGAAGUCGGACUCACAAGAUGAAAUCCGACUAAAAAAGGAGUAAUUAAAACACAAGGCAAAAAAAGGCACAAUAGCUUGCAAAGUGCGGACCACAUAAUUCCAUUUGCGACCGUAAACAAUGAAGAAAAUCCCAACAAGGUUUCCUAGCAAACUGUGGACCGCACGGGAAUUAUGCGGCCGCAAAUAAAGAACUGGAGAUGAAUUUCAGAGGGUGUGCAAAUUACCAAACUCUAAGUCAAUCAAGAAUGCUGACCGCACAAGAAUUAUGCAGCCGCAGAAGGAGUGUCUUGCGGCUGCAGAAGUAAAGAUGCAGACCGCAGAAGACUAGGUUGUGGCCGCAGUGAUAAAUUUGCGGACCGUAGAAACGAUGCCUCACGGCCGUAGUGGAGAAUUGUGUGGCCGCAGAAUCCUAGCUCCUACAAAGAUGAUGACUUCUACGGACCGCACAUGGAAUUGUGCGGCCGCAGAACCUCCCGAAGGGCAUUUGUGUCAGAAAUUUCCAGCCAUGUAUAAAUAGACGAGUUUCACAAAAUUAGAUUAAUAUUUGACACCAGCAAGUCGUGUAGCCGUUUUUCUUUGCUUCUUUUAGUAGUUUUCUAUAUUUUGAGAUAUUUUAACAUAGAUUUUAUCAUUUUAACUUUCCAAUAUGAGUUUAAUUAGUAUUUCUUCUUCUAUUUCUUCAAUUUCAAGCAUGAGUAGCAAGAUUCUUAUUAGGGUUCUUACCCAACCCUAGUGUGUAAACCUUAUGUGUAUCUAAUUUAGUGCUCGUUUAUGAUUGGGUGUUUAUUAUUUAGCCUUGUUCAUGCUUUAAUUUGUGGAAUUAAUGGUUGAAAAUAUUAGUUCAUGCCUAAUUGACUUAGUCUCUACUUGAGAAAGAGAGACUUAGUCUAGGAAAACUUGGCUAACUAGAAAAUUGGGUCAAUCGAGAGAUUGAUCAACCCAAUUAAAGGGUUCAACCUAGAGAUAGUAAUAACCCAACUUGAGCUCUUAUCAACCAUUUUGUGUGAUACACAUUUGGACUUUAGAAAGCAAAAUUGGGCAAAACUACUCCUUGACCGAGAGGUACUGAGUGGGUAAUUGAGAGUUGAUAGCUAUAAUACACCCCGAUCAACAAAACAAGCAUUAAGGUUUAUAUCCCAUUAGGCGAACACCUAGGCAAUGGUCAUAACCCUGGGAUUUUUACAAACUUGAAAAAUGACAAAAAUAAUUAUCUUAGUUUUAUUUCUUAACUUUGCAAUCUUAGUUUUAAAAAAUAGAAACAUAAACAAAACCUAUUUGUGGAAGUGUAAAUUAAGAUAUUUCAAACUCACGUACUAGAAUAUAUACUCCUAACUCCCAUAUAAACUCCAUGUGGAUUCGAUCCCGACUCUUUGUUGGGUUACUAUUAUUGUAAUCGAACGUUUCAUAUCCUUGUUUUGAGGUGUGAUUUGGACGAGAUCAAUUUUUGGCGCCGUUGCCGGGGAGCUCAAAAUGGUGUUAGCUAUAUAUUUGAGUGUGUUUUUUGAAUAUAUUCUUUCUCUUCCAUGUUAUUAACGUGUUUGGAAAUUGUAGGUGCAACCAUGGCAAACAAUGAGCUCGGAAACUUUGCUUUAGUGGAUGUGGACGUUGAGGAUGAUCAAAUGGAUGAGGUUCCUCUUGAACCUCAAGCCAAUAGACGAGGCCGAGUGCCUCCAGACAAUGUGCCCGCUUCACCCUCACCUCCACCAAGAGCGGCUCCACACGGGUGUUGCCGAAUGAAGGAUAUGCAAGUGCAAUAGUUCCUUCCCGUAUUAGGGCGGACAAUUUUCAAAUAACCAACGUGAUGCUCACCUUGCUCGAGAAACGAGAGUUCUUCACCGGUGCUCCGGGUCAAAAUGCAUACAAACAUUUGAAGGGGUUCAUGGAUACGUGUUGGGGGAGUAAACAAACAAAUAUCUCCGAGGAUGCUUUAAGGCUAAGGAUUUUUCCCUUCUCUACACGGGGGAAAGCCGUAGAUUGGUUGGAACAUUUGCCAAACCAUUCCAUUCAUACUUGGGAUGAAUUGGUGGAGAAAUUUAUUUCUAAGUAUUUGUCUCCCGGGCACAUGGCCAUACUUCGGGAUGAAAUUCUAGCAUUCAAGCAUGAACCCAAUGAACCAUUACACGAGAUAUGGGAACGAUAUAAAAUAAUGGUUAAAGAGUGUCCUAACAACGAUAUGAAGGAGAAUAUGAUUCAACAAACCUUCUAUUGGGGGAUCAACAUAACCAACCAAUGUGUAGUGAAUAAACUUGCUAGUGGGAACUUCAUGACUAUACCUUAUGCGGAGGCGUGUGAAUUUUGGAUGAGAUGGCGGACACUUCUUUGGCGUGGCAAUCCCGAGCUAAUGUUUCACAAGGUGAUCCCAAUGUGAUUCACCUUAACAAAUAAUUGUAUGAACAUGGGCAAGCCAUAGGUGAAUUGACUACCACCAUGAACCAAUUGGCAAAAGCUCAACUUCAACAAGUGCAAAACUCGAGGCAAGUCAAUGCAAUGGAAGGGGUCCAUAAGUGCAACAAAGAGUGGAUAAUUUUGUGCAAGAAGAUAGUGGGUUUGAUCAAGAUAACUCUUAUAAUGACCAACAAGAAGAGGUCCAAUAUGUGAAUAACUUUCAAAGGCAAAGAAACAACUUCCAAGGCCCAAGACAACAACAAGGGCGACCUCAAAACAAUCAAGGAAAUUGGAAUUCUCACAACCAAGGUAAUUGGAGUGGUGGAAACAAUCAAAGCAAUUGGAAAAACAACAACAAUCAAGGAAGUUGGAGUGGCGGCAAUAAUCAAGGGAAUUGGCAUAACAACAAUAACCAAGGCAAUUGGGGAGGCAACAAUCAAGGCGGUUGGAGUAACAAUCAAGGAAAUCGGGGGUCGAGGUUUCAAAGGACCCCGAUGAAUCAACAAACAAUCAAACCGCCUCCUUAUCCUUCCCUUGGACAUAACUCUUCCAACAAUGAAAUGGGACGUAUUGAGAACAUGUUCAAGAAAAUGAUGGAGAAGAAUGCCGAUUCUAAUGCCCAAAUUGCCUCACACAGCACAUCGAUCCGCAACUUAGAAGUGCAAAUGGGAAAAAUCUCUCAAGCUCUAAAUUCUCAUCCUAAGGGGGCACUACCAAGUGACACGGUGGUGAACCCAAAGGGUGGGAACAACACGGGGCAUGCCAUGGACGUUACUACAAGAAGUGGAAAAGGUGGGAAUGCACCCACCUCGUGUCAAAGGCAACUUGCGGAUGAUGAGCAAGUGGUACAAGAAGAAGAGAUCCCGAGCAAUGUGAUGCAAUUAAAUGAUGAAGUUCGGAUUGAUAUUGAUGACAAUGUGGAAGAGACUCAAGAGGAAUUAAACCCGUCUAGGGAUCAUAUUAUUGACAUACUGGAAAUGAUAGUGCAAAAGGCUAAGGUUCCAGUGCCCAAGUCUCCUCCUUCGUAUCCUCAAAGUCUUGCCAAGAAAAAUGGCGAGAAUCAAUUCAAAAAGAUCAUUGACAUGAUGAAGAGUCUCUCGAUAAAUGUGCCAUUAGUUGAAGCCUUGGAACAAAUGCCCGGUUAUACAAAGUUUAUGAAGGAUUUGGUGACAAAAAAGCGGUCGAUGAAUUUUAAAACUAUCAAAGUCACUCAUCAAGUGAGUGCAAUUAUGCAUUCAAUGGCUCCUAAAAUGGAAGAUCCCGGUGCUUUCACAAUCCCUUGUACCAUUGGAAGUGUCAAUUUUGCUAAAGCUCUAUUCGAUUUUCAAGACUUUGGGAAUUGGGAAACCAAGACCCACAUCUAUGAGAUUACAAAUGGUCAAUCGUACCAUGAAGAGACCGUUAGGAGUGAUUGAAGAUGUAUUGGUUCGUAUUGAUAAAUUCAUUCUUCCGGUGGAUUUUGCCAUUCUUGAUUGUGAAGUGGACUAUGAGGUGCCGAUUAUUCUUAGAAUACCUUUCCUUACUAUGAGGAAGGCUCUUGUUGAUGUGGAAGAUACUCACUUUUUGGGUGGGUGAUAAAAAGGUGGUAUUCCACUUGUUCAAAUCAAUGAGGCAACCAAAUAGCAAUGAAGUGUGUUCUUUCAUACACUUGGUGACCGAUGUGAUUGUUGAUGACACAAGCGCCACGAUUAAUGUGGGUGAUAUGUUGGAGGCCGUCUUGCUCAACUUUGAUGAUGACGAGAUGGAUGGCUUCAUGGAAUAUGUGAAUCUUUGCAAGGGAUGGGGUCGUACAACUAUGCACCCCGAAAACUUUCCUUAGAUCUUGAAAGUAGUAAAACUCCUCCUACAAAGCCUUCAAUUGAAGAGCCUCCUACCUUGGAGUUGAAGCCAUUGCCUCCACAUCUUUGGUAUAAAUUCCUUGGCCCUUGUUCUACUUUACCGGUUAUUCUUUCCUCUUGUUUGACUAACGUGCAGGUUGACUCUACAUUGACGGUGCUCCACAAGAGGAAGAAGGCUAUUAAGUGGACUUUGGAGGAUAUUCGGGGAAUAAGUCUCUCAUUUUGCAUGCACAAGAUUAACUUGGAGGAAGAUGCCAAACCAUCUAUUGAACAUCAAAGGAGACUCACUAAGGCUAUGCAAGACGUGGUCAAAAAGGAGAUUAUCAAGUGGUUGGAUGUCGGGGUUGUCUACCCCAUUUCUGAUAGUUCAUGGACUUCUCCGGUGCAAUGUGUCCCAAAGAAGAGGGGCAUAACGGUGGUCACCAACGACAAGAAUGAGUUGAUUCCCACAAGAACUGUGACCGGGUGGAGAGUGUGUAUGGACUAUCGCAAGCUAAACAAAGUCACAAGGAAGGAUCAUUUUCCACUUCCCUUCCUUGACCAAAUGCUUGAUAGGUUAGCCAGACAUGAUUUCUAUUGCUAUUUGGAUGGAUAUUCGGGCUACAACCAAAUCCUUAUUGCUCCGGAGGAUCAAGAGAAAACAACUUUUAUAUGUCCCUAUGGUACUUUUACCUUCAAGCAGAUGCUAUUUGGUCUAUGUAAUGCAUCGACAACUUUUCAAAUGUGUAUGAUGGAGAUCUUCAUGGAUAUGGUAGAGUACUACCUUGAAUGUUUAAUGGAUGACUUCUCGGUGGUUGGUGAUUCCUUUGAUGAUUGCUUGGCAAAUUUGGAUAGAGUAUUGGCAAGUUGUGAAGAAACAAACUUGGUGCUAAAUUGGGAGAAAUACAAUUUCAUGGUCUAGGAAGGCAUUGUCUUUGGCCACAAUAUCUCAAAGAAUGGCAUAGAAGUCGACAAGGAAAAGAUUGAGGUGAUUUCUAAACUUCCACCUCCGACUUCGGUGAAAGGCGUGUAGUGUUUCUUAGGCCACGCGGGGUUUUACCGGCGCUUCAUCAAGGAUUUUUCUAAAGUGGCAAAUCUAUUGUGCAAGCUCUUAGAGAAAGAUGUGAAGUUUCACGUCAAUGAUGAUUACAUGAGAGCCUAUGAAUUUCUAAAGUUCAAGUUGAGAACAACUCCCAUUAUCACCGCUUCUAAUUGGAGUAUCCCUUUUGAGCUCAUGUGUGAUGCUAGUGACGUAACAGUUGGGGUUGUUUUGGGGCAACACAUCAACAAUAUUUUUCAUCUGAUCUACUAUGCUAGUAAAACCAUGAAUGGUGCCCAAGUCAACUGCACCGUUAUAGAGAAAGAGCUCCUUGCCAUUGUGUUUGCAAUUGAGAAAUAUCGCCCGUAAUUGAUGGGUGCAAAGGUUAUUGUUCAUAAGGAUCAUGCAACACUUCGCUAUCUUAUGAGCAAGAAAGAUUCAAAAGCUCGGUUGAUGUGAUGGGUGCUAUUGUUACAAGAGUUUGAUAUUGACAUCCAAGAUCGAAAAAGGAGUGAAAACCAAGUAGCGGGCCACUUGUCUCGUUUGGAGGAGGGGGGAGUCUGCAUGAUGGACUUUAAAUCAAUGACUCCUUCCCCGAUGAGAAACUCUUGUCUAUUUCAAUGAAUGAGAUGCCAUGGUUCGUGGAUCUAGCAAACUUCUUGUGUGUGGCAUCAUCCCGGAUGAGUUCUCUUCAAAUCAAAGAAAGAAGCUCAAACAGUAUUAUCAAUAUUAUUAUUGGGAUAAGACAUACCUCUUCCGAAUUUGCAAGGAUGGGGUAAUUAGAAGAUGUGUCCCGGAAGAAGAGCAGAGUGAUAUUCUUGAGACCUCUUCGCCUUAUGGUGGUCACUAUGGCAGAGCAAGAACGGCAUCCAAAGUGCUAAGUUGCAGUUUCUAUUGGCCCACCCUUUACAAAGAUGCAAGUGAUAUGGUGAAAAGAUGUGAUGAAUGUCAACGGGCCGGGGGAAUCUCGAAGAAGAAUGAAAUGCCUCUCACUACCAUUUUAGAGAUUAAUAUCUUUGAUGUGUGGGGUAUUGACUUCAUGGGGCCCUUUGUGAGCUCUUGUGGAGACACCUAAAUCUUGGUAGCGGUUGAUUAUGUGUCUAAGUAGGUUGAAGCCAUUGCUCUACCCAACAAUGAAGCGAGAAGUGUGGUGGCAUUCUUGAAGAAGAAUAUUUUCACAAGGUUUGGUACUCUGCGGGCUAUCAUAAUCGAUGAGGGGUCACAUAUUUGCAACAAGACUUUUGACACUUUGCUUAGCAAGUAUGGUGUCACUCAUAAAGUUAUGACUCCCUAUCAUCUGCAAGAUAGCGGUCAAGGGGAAAGUCUCGUAAACUAGGAGAUAAAAGAGUAUUUGUCCAAAAAUAGUGAAAUGCUAAACGGACGGANNNNNNNNNNNNNNNNNNNNNNNNNACAUAUUUGCAACAAGACUUUUGACACUUUGCUUAGCAAGUAUGGUGUCACUCAUAAAGUUAUGACUCCCUAUCAUCUGCAAGAUAGCGGUCAAGGGAAAGUCUCUAACUAGGAGAUAAAGAGUAUUUUGUCCAAAAUAGUGAAUGCUAACCGGACGGAUUUAUCAAAGAAGCUUGAUGAUUCAUUAUGGGCUUAUAGUACUUCUUUCAAAACUCCUAUCAGAAUGUCUCCAUACUGGUUGGUAUUCGGCAAAGCUUGUCAUCUUAUGGUGGAACUUGAGAACAAAGCCAUGUGGGCUCUAAAGAAGUUGAAUCUUGAUUGGGAUGCAGCCGGUAACUUGAGGGUCGCACAUUUGAAUGAAUUGGAUAAGUUUCGGUACCAUGCCUACGCAAGUUCGUCCUUGUACAAAAAUAAGAUGAAGUACCUUCAUGACAAAUACAUUCGGAAUAAGGAGUUCAAGGUGGGCGAUCUUGUGCUGUUAUUCAACUCACGAAAAGCUGAAAUCUAAAUGGAGUGGUCCCUUUGAAAUUGUAGGUGUGACACCUUUUGGUGCAUCGGACUUGAAGAACAAAAACAAUGAAGUAUUCCAGGUCAAUGGUCACCGGGUGAAGCACUAUUUGGGAAAGGUUGAUGAAGGCCACGUUGUGGCGGUGAUUAAUUUAAAAUGAUGGUAAUCUGUGUCGUGCUGCGACGUUAAAUCAGGUGCUUCUUGGGAGGCAACCCAUGUUUCUUUUUCUUUUCUUUUCUUCUUUUGUAGAUAGGUGUUAUUUUUGUGCUAACUGGAUUUGAAGUGUGUUUUAGGGAUGAAUGUACUUUACAAAAUUGUGCAAAGAUUGGCUAAGUGUGGAAUGAAUUGUGGACCACAAUUGUAUUAUGCAGACCGCACAAUUUUUGUUGCUGCAGCAAAAGGUUCUCUGCGUCCGCACAAAUACAUUGAAGACCGCACAAAUUGCAGGUG